GACGAACGCUGGCGGCGUGCUUAACACAUGCAAGUCGAACGGAAAGGCCCUGCUUUUGUGGGGUGCUCGAGUGGCGAACGGGUGAGUAACACGUGAGUAACCUGCCCUUGACUUUGGGAUAACUUCAGGAAACUGGGGCUAAUACCGGAUAGGAGCUCCUGCUGCAUGGUGGGGGUUGGAAAGUUUCGGCGGUUGGGGAUGGACUCGCGGCUUAUCAGCUUGUUGGUGGGGUAGUGGCUUACCAAGGCUUUGACGGGUAGCCGGCCUGAGAGGGUGACCGGCAACAUUGGGACUGGGAUACGGCCCAGAUUCCUACGGGAGGAAGAAGUGGGGAAAAUUGAACAAUGGGCGGAAGCCGGAUGCAGAAACGCGGCGUGGGGAAUGACGGCCUUCGGGUUGUAAACCGCUUUGGCCGGUGACGAAGCGUGAGUGACGGUAAUGGGUAAAGAAGCACCGGCUAACUACGU
rnacentral:rRNA from 1 species